GGAUAUAGAAAGCUAAACAAAGAAAGAACAACUCAACAAGUUACGUGAAACUGAAAAUGAGGUGAGAAAAACUUAAUUUGCAACGGAGAUAAUACUGUUUUGUUAUCACUUAUGUCACAACGUUAUUAGACAGAAUUAGCAAAAUAGUGAUAUUCUUAUUUUAUUGAAGUCUUUCUCCUCAACGGGGCUCAAGUCCAAUUUAGAGGAAGAGAAAGAGGAGAAAGAAAGAAACUUAAGAAAGCUACAAGAUUAUAAUAAUCUUCCAGCUUCUCUAAUUAGUGGGCCUAUAGUUGUUGAAGUCCUUGAAACCAUUUCCUCAAACUCAGUGAGCUGGGUUGGUAUUAUGCUGUUUAAAUAUGGGACCUCAAAAAUCCAACUGAUCGGAGUCAAAGGGAGAAGAAAGAAGCAGUAAGAGGAAAGCUUUCUAUACAUUUUUUUCCCUCAAGUUCACUGCUGUUCACUAUUCAGAACAGCAACAACUAAUACCAACAUUUUUUCUUUCUUUUAUAUUUCUUAACAUAAAAUCUAGUGCGGGAAAAAACAAAUAAACCUCUAAUUUACUUGUCCACCAAAAAAAAAAAAAAGACAAGCAUAUGAACUUCCAAAUUCCUCUGCUGAGCCUCAUAUACUGAAAAGAAAAGAAAUAAAAAUUGAAAAAGGAAAAGCCUCCUGCAUUUUAUUCCACAACAUUUGGCUGACACGGUUUUCAGAGCGCCUGGUCCAUCUACACAUGGUAGAGUUGGGAUUGCUUCUUUAAAAUAAAUAAUAAAAAAUUCAAAGAGUUACGGAUAAAAGUUAGAAAAGUUGGUCAUAGGAAUUUGUGAUUUGUUAUCUAGCAAACCGAAUAAAUUACAAUUUUCUUUAUAAAUGAUUUCAAUUACAC
rnacentral:lncRNA from 1 species